rnacentral:rRNA from 1 species
UACCAGCACCCCGAGUGGUCGGGACGUUUAUUGGGCCUAAAGCAUCCGUAGCCGGUUCUACAAGUCUUCCGUUAAAUCCACCUGCUCAACAGAUGGGCUGCGGAAGAUACUAUGGAGCUAGGAGGCGGGAGAGGCAAGCGGUACUCGAUGGGUAGGGGUAAAAUCCGUUAAUCCAUUGAAGACCACCAGUGGCGAAGGCGGCUUGCCAGAACGCGCUCGACGGUGAGGGAUGAAAGCUGGGGGAGCAAACCGG